AAUAUUGUACUAUUUGCUGCAGUACUAAAAAACUCAAGUUUUUAUUGAUUCAAUAUUUAGCGUAUUGACUGCUUUUGAGAAAUUGAUUUACUUGAAGAGAUUCUCUGAAAAUUACUACUAUGUAUUAUUUAAAAUUUUUUAUUUUAGUUUUUUACUUUAUUACUUUAUAAUUUGUCUUUAAGGUGAAUAAAAACUAAUAAUGUAGUGUGUAGGCUGAUUUAAAUUAAUUUUAUUAAUGAUCUUCGUUACUAUUAUGUUUAUUUUAAGUUAAUUUACUAUUGUACUAUUUUAAGUGAAAGGUGUUGAUUUAAAAAAUUAUUAAGCUAAAAGUUAUGGAAGAAAAUUUUUUGAAACAAUGUGUGCUAUGUAAAAAACCUGUAUAUAAAAGAUUCUCUGAAAGCAAAUUAUGUGAAAAUGAUGACUACAAAAUUUGUAAAACUUGUGCAGGUAUAAAAUUUGUUGUGUAAGUUUGUUUGUAGUAGUCCUCUUACUACUAUAUUAUUUAUGAUUAGAUUCAUAGUGCGAUAUUCCUUAACUUGAGAAAAAUAUAAUCAUUGAAAGAGCUUUUAAGAAUUUUACAACACACUCCAUAGAAGAAAUUUCAUCUUUGUCAUUACUUAUGUCAAUUUUUUCUGGUCAAGUAUGUGUGUUUUAUAAACAUUUGUGAAUUUACAGAUUCAAUUGAGUAAAACAACCUCCUCAAAACUAACUAUCUAUAUAGUUUUAGACACAACAUAUGUAAUGCUGGUGGAAAGGCAAAAAGAAACCUUAUAGACCAAGAUUUAAUGUAUCUUUUGUCAGAAGAAAAAAAUGAUGAUUCAAUGGCUGCACUUUCUAAGUCAUUUAAUAGUCUCAAGAUGAUUGUAUUGAAAAUGUAUUACUAUCUACAUUAUCUGAUAAAUUUUGCGGAUCAUGGUGAUGAUGUACUUUUAAAUAUAAGAUCUUCGUUAACAUCAUGCUGAUGUUCAACUGUGAGACGAAUUCUCGCUGAAGUGAGCGAAGGAACACUUCAUUCCACUGCAGUUGAAAAAGAGCUGCUUAUUUCAGUAGAGAACCUGAACAAAAAAUUAGAUACAAAUAAUGCCUAAAUAAGUCAACUUAUUGGAGUACUUAAUAAAAACAGGUAAGCAAUUUUGGUUGAUAACCCUUUUGAAAUUCCAGUAAAUGAUGAGGCAAGCUUACUCAAAUUAAAUGAAGACAUCGAAUCAGAUAAAAAAGUUAUAAAUGCACUGGUAAGUGUGAGCCAUACAUUUUUUCAUUGUUUUCUUAUUUCUUUAUACAGAACAUUUUAAAAGUAUUUUUAUUUAGAAUGUACAGUUAAGUAUUAAAUAAGUAUUUUACAAUCAAUAAAGUUAAAUAAAAUUAUUAAUUAAAGACAAAGAUGGUUAUCAUGUAUAAUGUGCAUGUAAAUUUUAGAGCAUGAAAUUGGUGAGCAUGAAAUCCCAUGGUGGCUCAACAAUUAAGAGGAUUGUUUGGAAUUUAAUUCAAAUGGUGAUUGGUACCAAUGUAGAAAAUAAAAUAAAUUGGUCAGGAGCUAACAAUAAGGUUUGAAAUUGCUUUGAAAGCAAUGCCUUUAAAAAAAGUUCUAUUGGGUUAGAUGCCUUUAAAAAAAGUUCUAUUGGGUAAGAACGGCCCAAUGGCCGUUUCGAUGCAGCGUCGGAGUCGCAAGCGGAACUGCAUUGGGCCAGCAUUGGGCCGCUAGCGGGAGGCUGUCUGGGUAGUUUAACUUUGUGUUAUUUAGAUGUUGUGAAAAAGCUUUAAUCUUAGGAGUAUCAGGAGAAGAUUUUGAACAUUAACUGAAGACAUAUUUUUAGCUUUUUUUUGGGAUCGAAAUGGUGGACAAAAAGCUCAAGAGGAACGUUAUUUGUUUAAAAAUUAUUUGCAUAAAUAACAAUUUGAACUCCUAAUAUUUUUAUUUUAAUUUUUAUUUUAUUAUUUUUUAUCACGCUUUUGGUUGGGAAUAAAUUUCGAAAAUACUUAUUUAUUUUUUUCGAUAUAGUUUGGAAUUAAUCUCGAAAAGUACUUAUUUGAUUCAUUUAUGGAGUAUAAUUCAUUUGUGCAGAAACGGCCAAUAAUAACGUGCUUGUGUUUUAGUUAGUAAAAAGUAACGUCUUAGUACUGACACGCGACCACGAACAACUGUUGCAAAAUGAUCACAGAUCAUUACUCGGAAUAAAUAAUGGGCAAAUGGUGGUAAGCGAUUGCAGGCCAGUGGUGGCAAAUGAUCCCGGGCCAGUGCUGGCAAAUGAUCGCAGGCCAGUGCUGGCGAACGAUUACGGGCCAAUGCUGGCUCAUGGCUAGCGGGCCGAUGCUGACCCAAUAGCUGUUUCGAUGGAUGUCUGUGAUCGAUAGCCAUCAUCGCACCGUAGUAGCAAGCGGACCUGGGCAGCAUUGGGCCACUAGCGGGAAGCUGUCUGGGCUGUUAAAAUAAUUGCGUGUUUUUUCUGGAAAAGUUCCUGCAGCUGCUGAUGACCUAACUACACGUUAUUUUAUGGAAAAACCCAUUGCAUGUAAACGAAAGAUUCCGUUAACAAACGGAUUUUUUCCCGUAAAAAUACAAUGGUUUUUUUACGUAAACAAAGGGAGGUUUGGUCAUUGCAGUUGCCGGAACUUUUCCGUAAAUAAACGGAAACUUCCGUUUAAAUAAACAAAUUUUUUCCAGUAAACAACGGAAUGGAAUUAGACAAUAAAAUCAAUAUUACAGUAAAAAAAAAUUUAAAAAAAACAGUUAUAUUACAACUACUGACCUCAAAAUAACAAUAUUUUGACAUCAGUGUGUUAUACAGCAAUGUUGAAUAUUCAGGCGUUUGUAUUACAUUAUUACUAUGUCUAGUUACAGCAUUUUUGGAUGCGAAAAAAAAAAACUGGAUCAAAAAACAGUGAUCACAUAUCAAAAGAGAAGUUUAUUUCACAGGUGGGUGAAAUUUAUUACAAUUUAUUAGGAAUAAAAUCUAAAACUAUUAUGUCUUGUGAAAUUCACGUGUUAUUAUUUAUAUUUAAAGAUUUCUAAAAAAUGAACAAAAUAAAAAAAAUUGGUUGAAGAAAAUUGGACAAGAAAAAUAUGAGCAACCUACAAAUUCUACAAAAAUUUCACAGCAUUUUGAAGAAAACUGUUUUGAAAAGACUUGGCAAACAAUUUGUUUGAAGCAUGAUGUUAUUCUAACUUUUUACAAAUCAAACAGAUCAGUUUAAUGUUCAUUUAAAUUUAAAGCAUUAAAAUAUUAACUUUUUUUUCUUAUAAUUUGUAGUUUUAUUUAGUUAACAAUUAUUGCUUUAUUUUUUAAUCAUUUAUCAAAACUGCUAUAUUUGUUUCUUAGAAAAAAGAAAAGCACCACCAUUUGUAUUUAGUUUGCUUGAAAUAAAGAUGUUCAAUGUGAAAUUAAUAGACAAUUAGACUUUUCACUAUAUUUAAAAACACAUAAGAAAAAGAUAUCUAUUUUAAAAUCAAAAUGAGAAGCAAAGAAAUCGUCGUUUAAAAUCUUAAGUAAAAUCAUUAAAGGCAGUAUAUCAAUAAUAUCAAAAAUAAAAACUUAGUUUCAUCUGGAUAUGAAGAAAUUUUUAAAACAACUUUUGCAAGAUUCCCUCUCAAAUUAUGAAACACUAUCUUAACAUCAAAAAGAAACAUUUAUACAGAAAUAAACAUCCUGAUGAACUACAUUCAUUUGCAUUGACAUUGCAAUUUUAUUCUUUAAAAGCUUAUGAGUUUGUUUGUAAGACAUUUCAUUUAGCGCUACCUCAUCAACCCCAAACAAGAAAUUGGCACACCAAGGUACCAGCAGAAACUGGAUAUACAAAACCUGCUUUUAUUGUACUUCAUGCUGCAGUUUGCGCUUCAAACAAAACAGGUUAUCAGAUGUUGUGUUCCCUCAUGCUUGAUGAAAUGGUAAUAUGAAAACAAGUGAAAUGGGGUGAGAAAAAGUUAAUAAUAUUAUUGCGUUUACAAAAUGGUAUUGACGAUGAUGACACUUUACCAUAAGCAAGAUAUGCUCUUGUUCUAGGGGUAGUUUUGAUAAACAGUACUUGAACAGUACCUUGCAAUUCUUUUUAUAUAGAUGAAUUAACUGGUGUGGAGCGAGCAAAUUUGGUUCGGAAUUGUUUAAAAAACCUUUUUGAUGUUGGCUAAUUGUAAUUUCACUAACUUGUGAUGAAAACCGUCUUUUUUAUAAUUUCAGAGCUUGGUACAUGUUUAAAAUCAAGUAAUUUAAUACCCAGAUUUCUCUAUCCAAGUAAUUCGAUUGUAUGGCAUGUUUAAUGUAUGCCAUAUACUGAAACUGCUUAGAAAUACACUGGCAGGACUUGAUGUUAUUUUGAAAAAUGAUAAUAAUACAAUUAGUUGGCAAUACUUUGUAGAGCUAAAAAAAUUGCAAUCAAAAUAACGACUUAUAUUAGGUAACAGACAAAAAAAGUAAGCGCAUAUAGAAUUUUGGCAACAAAAAAUUAAAGUCACAUCAUCACAAAGUUUUUGUUCAAUUGUUGCUGAUGCAUUACAGUAUUGCCCAAGUAAUCUUAAGUUGCCACAGUUUGACGAAUGCUGUGCUACUCUUAAGUUUAUUAGAACAAAAGAUCAUUUAAUUGAUGUUAUAAAUUCAUGAAAUCCGUUUGCAAAAAGCUUUAAGUCAGCAUUACGCGUUGUGGUUUUUAUUUUUUGAUAUGGAAAAUAACUAUACUCAUUGUCUUAAAGAUAAAACUAGUAAUCAAAUGAUCUCUUACAGUCUUAAAACUGGUUUUAUUGGAUUUUUGAUUGCAACAAAAUUUGUACAAUGCAUUUUUCUUGAUUGGGUGGAAAAAGAAGAUUCACAAUUAAAAUAUUGACAUAUAGCUCAGUAAAGACCAUCUAGAGCUCUUUCUCGUGCAGUUUGAUCUGCUGGAAUGUUUACCAAUAAUCCAAAUCCACAAUAAUUCACAGCUCCUUAAAAACAUCUUUUUUCGCAAAGUAGGAUUCGUUGUGGGAAUGGAAACUAUAGCAUUAGAAAUAAAAAUGAAAUUUGAAGUGUUUUAGAUGAUUCUUAUAAUGAUGCUGAUACUAAAAUAUCAAUGACUGAAAUUGGGUUGCUUAAAAAUAUGAUUCGUUAAGAAAGAGAACCAAAGCAAAUUGAUCAUGAUUAUGCAGAUAUACCAAAUUUUUAUAAUCUUUCGAAAUAUAAAAAAGCGGCAAUCUCAUAUCUCAUUAAUCUGGAUAUGUAGCUGAGAUGACUGCCAAAAACCUAAUCUGCAUUACAUGUCAGAAUACAUUAAUAACUCCAAAUUAUUUGGAAGAAACUAGCUUUUUGAAACUUAAAGAUAGGGAAGGUUUGGUUAAACCAAGACAAAGUGUUGUUUUGGUAAGCGAAAAAACUGAACGAUGUUUUCAAAGGUUGCUUGCAUCAACAGAUAGUAACCUGCCUAAUGAUAUAGGAACACUAACGAUUUUGUCAACUUGGGAAGUCGACAAAAUCGAGUCGACCUAACGUUUUUCAUUGUAUUAUGAAAAUUAGUCUUUCUUCCAAGCUUUUUUGCCAUUUUUUAAUAAAAUUAACAGUUUUUGAAUGAAUAUACAAGAUUACUAGUAUUUAAAAGCCGUUUAUUAGUACUUUUUCGAAUAUGACAUUUAAGGAUUAUACGUCGAUAUUUUGAAUUUGUUAAGAUACAAGUUAACAAGUUCAAAAGAUCGACGUAUGGUCCACCGCACAGAAUAUCUUCAAAAUCAUGGCAUUUAACUGCAUAUAUCAUGUUAUUAUGGAGCUUAAAUUGUUUUCUCAAUUAUUCAUUUGAAUUUUCUAUUGUGACUAUAGUGUAUAGUGAGUAAUAUUUUGACAAAUAUCAAUGGUAGUACAACAUAUAUAUGAAAUUUAGGAGACAUACAAAAUCGUUUUGAUAAAUUUCAUUUUUUCUCACGUUACAAGCGAUUUUCUUUACCACGCGGAAAACUUUUUUCCGGAAACUCUUCUUAUUUUAUCAAUGUUUUGUUUUGAAUUUUUACUACGUUUAUAAUUUUUCCGUUAUAUACUUUUUAAAAUAUAUGGGUGCUUUUAUUUAGAAAUUAUUAUUGCAAAGUAGAACAUAUAACUGCUCAUUAGAAGUCAAAUAUAACAGUAGUACAAGGCUGUAUAUAGAUAUAUAUCUAUAUAUCUAUGAUAUAUAUCUAUAUUAUAUAUCUAUGAUAUACUUAUAAAUAUAUAUUUAUUAGUAUAUUAUUGAUGUAUAUUUACAGUUUACUUUUAUUAUUAUGCAGUUAAUAUUAUACUGCCUAAUUAUUUUU
rnacentral:lncRNA from 1 species